GAACAGGAGUCUACAAUACUAAGGAAAUCUACCUCGUGUGCACUCAUAUAUUCUUGCAGUUCAACUCGUCUAAAUCUAAUUUGUUUCAGUGGUUCACUGUUAAAGAAUUAUAAUGAUUACCACAACGCUCAGCCCCAUCAUUUCUGGAAUCCAGGACAGCAUCAGGAAUGUUGACCUCAGAAGCUUCACUCCGCCCUUUGACCUUUUGUCUCUGGACAUCAAGACGGUCAGCUGGUUGGUUCUGGCAGCCGUGACCUUAUUCUACCUGUUCAGUGUCUUCGGUAAAUAUUUCGUUCCGGUUGGAAGAAGCUUAGCUGUCAACACUGCCAACGCUUGGGAGAAUAACGUUUUUGGACUGAACGAACUUGGAAGGAGCAGCCCCGCGUUGAGGCCGUACUCCGAAAUCUUGGACUCCUUGGCGGAUGCUGUGAAAAAAUGGGACGGUCCCGAGGACAGCGAGGCGAAGAUGAGGAUUAGUGGACAUCACUGAAGUUGGUCUCGUAGUAAAGAAAAUUGUUCAGGUCCCAAGACUUCAUUAUCCGAAGUCAAUUACUCACUUGUUACUUUUUGUUAAUGAUAUUUAUUAUUUAUUUCAAUCACUGUUGUAUCUUUAGGUUUAAAUAAAAAAAUGGCAGUUCAA